CCCCUCUCUCUCUCUCUCUCUCUCUCUUUAUUUCUUAUCUGUUUUUUUGUUAUUUUAUUUGAUAUUUCUUUUGCUCCAUUCCAUUUCCUUUUCCUUCUUCUCCACAUGAUUCUUUUCCCUCACUCUCUCUUUCUCUAGGAUCCAUUUCCCUCUUACAAUAGGAGCUCUUAAAUUCUUCCAGCAACUUCUUUCCUCUCCCGGCGACUUUUCUUUCUCAUCUUCACGGCUUCGGUUAUCUACAGAACUUAUUAGUAGGGCAAACGGUGGUCGGAACCUAUGCCAUGUCAACACAACCCCUUUUUGCAAUCUUCCCUCAAACCUAUCCUCACUCACGAUACGUGUUCUUAGGGAAGAUAACAAACCAACCACAGCAGGGGAAAGAUGGGCGCAUCACUUCACAGGUCUUCAAAAAGACAGGCAAUACAAUUAAAACCUCCAUACCUUAUGACAUGAUUGAAGAAUUAAUCAACAAGGGGUAUGAACGUUGAAAUAACGCAGCUGCAAUGCAAACUCUUGUUACUAAUUGGUUGGAAAAUAUCAUGCAAGAGUGCUCAAAUAAUGGCAGAGGCUUACGUGUUAUUCCAUUGAACUUAUACGAGUUUCAAAUUGUUGGCUAUGGCAUGUUCGUUUGAGUAGUCAACUUAGAAAAUAAGACAUGCUCAUGCAAGGAAUUCGACAUUGAUGGAUUUCCUUGUGUCCAUGCAAUUGAAGCAUGUAAGCAUCGACAUAUUUCUCCAUAUAUCCUUUGCUCAGUGCAUUACUAAGUUGACUCACUCUGUGACGCAUAUUCGGAAACCAUAUAUCCACUUGGAGAUAAAUGUCAGUGGCAUGCUCGAGAUGAUGUCAUAAACCAGCUUGUACUUCCACCUAAGAUUGGCAAACAGUCAGGAAGACCAAGAAAGAAGAGAAUUCAAUCUCAAGGAGAGGAGCAUCUUCAAUAUAGAUGCAGGGUAUGCAAACAGAUUGGUCACAACAGCCGAUCAUGCUCGGCCGCCGUACCUCUUGAUCGCACUACCAACCAACAGCACCAUUCAACUGAAGGACCAUAAAUUGCUCUACGCUAUAUUAAGCCAAUGGGGGCAUGUUAUGCGGUAUUCAUGUGUUAGGCAAUGUAGUAGGGAAUGCAAUUAGUAGCUCAACCGCUAACAUGUAUUUUGGCAUAAUAGAUGUUGGUUUUAUGUGUUGCUUUGUUGGCAAAGUCAUCCGUCGUAUUGUGUUUUUAAAAUAUCAUUCUGUGUUCAGGUUUUUAUAGGUUUCUUACUGUUUCACGGAUGCUAUUACUACCCAAUGGUAAUUACCGAUGCAUCGUUGGUAAUUGACAUUUGUCCACCGUUGUAAAAAAAUCACCACAAUUCCAUCCGACAACUUCAAUCGUGUGUGUUUCCACCGAGAAUAUGCUAAAUCUAGCUUUAUUAAUGAUAA